GAUGAACGCUAGCGGCAGGCUUAAUACAUGCAAGUCGAGGGGUAGCAAGAUUGUAGCAAUACAAUUGUUGACGACCGGCAAACGGGUGCGGAACACGUACACAACCUUCCUACAAGUGGGGAAUAGCCCAGAGAAAUUUGGAUUAAUACCCCGUAACAUAGCGAUGUGGCAUCACAUUGCUAUUAUAGCUUCGGCGCUUGUUGAUGGGUGUGCGGCUGAUUAGAUAGUUGGCGGGGUAACGGCCCACCAAGUCUACGAUCAGUAGCUGAUGUGAGAGCAUGAGCAGCCAAACGGGCACUGAGACACGGGCCCGACUCCUACGGGAGGCAGCAGUAAGGAAUAUUGGACAAUGGACGCAAGUCUGAUCCAGCCAUGCCGCGUGAAGGAUUAAGGUCCUCUGGAUUGUAAACUCCUUUUAUAAGGGACGAAAAAAGGUCUUUCUAGAUCGUCUGACGGUACCUUAUGAAUAAGCACCGGCUAACUCCGUGCCAGCCGCCGCCGUAAAAC
rnacentral:rRNA from 1 species